AUGUGUAGAAGUAAACAAGUGGGAGGGAUGGGCUUUAGGGAUUAUGAAGCUUUCAAUAAAGCCCUACUUGCAAAACAAGCAUGGAGGAUUCUCACUGUUCCAAACUCGUUGUGUGCUCAAGUUUUAAAGGCCAAAUAUUUUCCUCGUUGUGCUUUUAUGGAAGCGUCAUAUCCUAACAGUGCUUCCGCGACAAGGGUAUCAUUCAUGGAUGUCAUCUUCUAUGGAAAGGCCUAG
rnacentral:rRNA from 1 species